CCCAAUUUCGUUUUCCCAAACCCUAAUCCAUAACGAUUCGCAUCAGCAAGACCAUUAAGAAGGACAACUAAGCUCAAAUGCGGUUCCGACAGACAUGUGGCGGCGACGGAGAACAGAGGUGGAUCGGAGGAGUUGUUGCAUGUGUUGAGUCCAGUAAUGCUUAAGAAGUUUGAAAGCGGUGUUAUGGUCAUACAAAACAAGUCUCAUAGUGACGAAGAGGUGUUUUCUAGGAGUAAAUUAUUAGUACAAAAGCCUGAUGCGCUAAAAACGGGGGUUAGUGCCACUGAUGCUGCAAGAACACUUGGAAUUGCUCCAGCUAUGGCGAAAGAGCAUCUGUUUGCCGCUGAGAGCAAAGGUAUACAUUUGAAUUAAGUUUUAGUGACAUAUUUAAAUUA